rnacentral:lncRNA from 1 species
GGAACAGGAGGCUGCCCCCUGGGGUUCCUGCAAGGGGCUUGGGGCUCCCCCGACAGCUGCGGCCUUGGACCCUGGCCCCAGGGGUGCACUCUGCUGGAAAGUUCUCUGCGGUCUCCAGAAGCACCCACCCAGGCGUGGGAACCUGCCCCGUGGAACUUGGGGCUGUUCUGCUGGAACCUCAGGGACUGGGUCCGAAGCUUGGGGACCCCACCUGGUCCCGAGCUCUGAGCGCCCUCAGGGUGGGGUGGGCCUGGCUCACGCGGAGGGGUCUCCCAGAGCCUGGCACAGCGCCGGCACAGCAGGGACACACAGCCUUCCUGUGGGGCUGGAGAAAAUGGACACGUCCAGCCAAUGCCAUCAGACCACGCGUCCGUGUCGCCAGAUGCCUCUGCUGGGGCUGCCAAGAUGGCAACCAGUGCACCGUCUGGCUUCGACGCUGCGUAUUAACGGGCAGCCUGGUGAUGCACGUCCGCCCGCCCAUGUUUCGAUGUGGGAAAAAGUUUCUGUUUCUUUAAAGUGGGGAGAGAAGGAAUAUGUUCCCAGAGACACCCAACUGGAGAGCUCCUGGGCAGACUUCAAUGCUCUAAGAAGGAGGACCGGAGAUGAAGUGCCCUGCCUGUCACAUGCUGUCAGGGGCUCUGUGAUACCCACACGGCACUGUCGUUACUUUGAAGCCGUUCCAGAAGAAUAACACGACGGCACGUUUCCUAUGGGAUGGUUGAAAAUGCGACCAGCUGCAUACCGGCUCCAGGACACACGCACAGACACAGAAGAGGCCCCAGUGUCUGGAUGGCGCGACCCCACGGCAUCUCGGGGUUUCGGGUGUGGACUGACUCUGCUCCCAUUUCAAGCACAAGGCCGUUGUCCAGUGGGCUGGGGUGGGAGUGGGUCAGGGGGGGCUUCCUGUCUCCUUGGUUGCACUUUGGGGACAGACUCACCCUGGACCUCUGUGGACAGGAGGUGAGGGGCCCCUUUCAGCUCGUGGGCCCUUGUCAGACUGACCACAUCAUGUGGCCACCACUCAAGCUGAUUGAAGCCUCAUUUGUAAGCAUCUUCUUCCAUCCCAGCAUGACUCGGGGCCUCCCAGGAAAAACCAGAAACCUGGGUGGGUCCUUGAAGCCCCUCUCCCUCCUCAAGUCUAUGCGUCUGCUCUUGGAUUCUCGCCCAAAACUUCUCAAGCCCGGUUCUCCCAUGGAUGUCGCAACCCCCGGUCCACCUCCGUCUCCUUCCUGGAGGACCACAUCUGCCUCCUCACCCAUCUUCGCGUGCUCUGGGGCCUCUCACACUGUCUCCGCACCUCCCCGAUGAUCAAUCAGGCCCCGUGGCUCUUUCCUGCUGCAAAUGCUCCACGGGACUCUGGGCUGGAUACACGAGCCUGCACACAGGAUAAACCACAUCGCUCUAAACACACACGUGCACACGCACACACACACACAUAAACACACACAAGUGCAAGCCAACUGGGGAAAUCUGAAUGAAGUGAGUGGGUUGUAUCCAUGGCAAUAUCCUGGCUGAUACUGCUCUACAGUUUUGCAAACUGUCACCACUGAGGGGACCAGGUAAAGGUGCGUGGGGUCUCUGCUUUAUUUCUUACAACUGCAUGCAAGUCUACAAUUAUCUCAAAAUAAAAAAAUUAAUUUAAAAUAAGUGCUCCA